rnacentral:rRNA from 1 species
AACCUCCGCAAUGUGAGAAAUCGCGACGGGGGGAUCCCAAGUGCCAUUCUUAACGGGAUGGCUUUUCUUAAGUGUAAAAAGCUUUUGGAAUAAGAGCUGGGCAAGACCGGUGCCAGCCGCCGCGGUAACACCGGCAGCUCUAGUGGUAGCUGUUUUUAUUGGGCCUAAAGCGUUCGUAGCCGGUUUGAUAAGUCACUGGUGAAAUCCUGUAGCUUAACUGUGGGAAUUGCUGGUGAUACUGUUGAACUUGAGGUCGGGAGAGGUUAGCGGUACUCCCAGGGUAGAGGUGAAAUUCUGUAAUCCUGGGAGGACCACCUGUGGCGAAGGCGGCUAACUGGAACGAACCUGACGGUGAGGGACGAAAGCUAGGGCGCGAACCGGAUUAGAUACCCGGGUAGUCCUAGCCGUACACGAUGCGGACUUGGUGUUGGGAUGGCUUUGAGCCGCUCCGGUGCCGAAGGGAAGCUGUUAAGUCCGCCGCCUGGGAAGUACGGUCGCAAGACUGAAACUUAAAGGAAUU